rnacentral:rRNA from 1 species
GUGUAAUUAAGCGGAGGAAUAGAAAAUAACAUUAAUUUCCUGAAUAGUGGCGAACGAAAAGGAAAAAGCGCAAAGUGUAAAUCGAAUUACCCAAUUCGAGUUGUACAUGACUACCAAUAAUACCCGAAUCUAGAUGGAGGUGUUUGGAAAAGCCCCCCAUUGGCGGUGAAAGGCCGCAGCAUCUAAAGGAAGGUUACACAUUGGUAGUAAGCGGAGUCACAUUCUCUAGGCGUAGAAUGUAAAGAGGGUGGUAACUAUCAUCCAACGCUAAAUACUACAAGGAGACCGAUAGCGCACAAGUA